AGAGAGAGACAUGCGCGCAUAUCAAUAAGCGGAGGAAAAGAAACUAACAAGGAUUCCCCUAGUAACGGCGAGUGAAGCGGGAAGAGCUCAAAUUUGAAAUCUUAAAGGGUUUCCCUUUACGAAUUGUAGUUUAAAGAAGUGUUUUCUGUUGAGGUUUUGGUAAAAGUUCUUUGGAAUAGGACAUCAUAGAGGGUGAGAAUCCCGUAUUUGACCUUUACUUUCAACUUUGUGAUACACUUUCAAAGAGUCGGAUUGUUUGGGAAUGCAGUCCAAAAUGGGUGGUAAAUUUCAUCUAAAGCUAAAUAUUGGCGAGAGACCGAUAGCGAACAAGUACCGUGAGGGAAAGAUGAAAGGAACUUUGAAAAGAGAGUUAAACAGUACGUGAAAUUGUCAAAAGGGAAGCGUUUGACACCAGUGUUGUUUUUCUGAAAAUCAAUUAAAGAACUGUUUAUGCUAAGUUGUUUAGACUUUAUCAGCUAUCUGUUUAGUUUUGAGCUUUUCUUUAAUGCACUUUUCAGUUAACAAGUCAACAUCAAUUUCUUUUGCUGUAAAGAAGCUUGAGGAAGGUGGCUUGAGAUUCGUCUUAAGUGUUUAUAGCCUCUUGCCUAUGCAGUCGGAGAGAUUGAGGUCUGCAGCGUAGAUCCUUCGGGGCUAAAUGCAUUUGUGCUAAGUUAUAACAUUUUAUAGACAACUUGUUGACUAUGAUUUGUCUUGUAGCUUACUCGCUUAUGUUAUUUUACCUACGCUUAGGAUGUUGACGCAUGAGAUAUACGC
rnacentral:rRNA from 1 species